rnacentral:rRNA from 1 species
UACGUAGGGGGCAAGCGUUGUCCGGAUUUAUUGGGCGUAAAGAGCGUGUAGGCGGCCAUGUAGGUCCGUUGUGAAAACUCGAGGCUCAACCUCGAGACGCCGAUGGAAACCAUCUGACUAGAGUCCGGAAGAGGAGAGUGGAAUUCCUGGUGUAGCGGUGAAAUGCGCAGAUAUCAGGAAGAACACCCGUGGCUAAGGCGGCUCUCUAGUACGGUACUGACGCUGAGACGCGAAAGCGUGGGGAGCGAACAGG